rnacentral:rRNA from 1 species
AUUGAACGCUGGCGGCAGGCCUAACACAUGCAAGUCGAGCGAGCGGCGGACGGGUGAGUAAUGUAUGGGGACUGCCCGAUAGAGGUGGAUAACUACUGGAAACGGUAGCUAAUACCGCAUACUAUCGGAUAACCCAUAGGGGAUUGACUAGUAGGUGAGGUAAUGGCUCACCUAGGCGACGAUCCCUAGCUGGUCUGAGCGGAUGAUCAGCCAAACGGGGAAUGAGAAACGGCCAAGACUCCAAAGGAGGCAGAAGUGGGGAAUAGUGCACAAUGGGAGAAAGCCUGAUGCAGCAAUGCCGCGUGUAUGAAGAAGGCCCUAGGGUUGUAAAGUACUUUCAGUCGGGAGGCGUUACCGAAAGAAGAAGCACCGGCUAACUCCGUGCCAGCAGCCGCGGUAAUAC